UCAACCUGGUUUUUCGGAUCGGUGGAGCAAAACGAACGUGGUGUGAGGGCUCCGAUGGCUCCGAUUGGAGAAAGAUGGAGAAUGAUG
ensembl:ncRNA R02D5.15 ncRNA